UGAGGAAUAUUGGUCAAUGGACGCAAGUCUGAACCAGCCAAGUAGCGUGCAGGAUGACGGCCCUAUGGGUUGUAAACUGCUUUUAUAUGGGGAUAAAGUGGGGAACGUGUUCCCUUUUGCAGGUACCAUAUGAAUAAGGACCGGCUAAUUCCGUGCCAGCAGCCGCGGUAAUACGGAAGGUUCGGGCGUUAUCCGGAUUUAUUGGGUUUAAAGGGAGCGUAGGCCGUUUGGUAAGCGUGUUGUGAAAUGUAGGAGCUCAACUUCUAGAUUGCAGCGCGAACUGUCAGACUUGAGUGCGCACAACGUAGGCGGAAUUCAUGGUGUAGCGGUGAAAUGCUUAGAUAUCAUGAAGAACUCCGAUUGCGAAGGCAGCUUACGGGAGCGCAACUAACGCUGAAGCUCGAAGGUGCGGGUAUCGAACAGG
rnacentral:rRNA from 1 species